GUGGUGACCUGUGUGGCCAGUCAAACAUGGAGAUGUGAGACAGUAGUAAUUUAAGUGGACAUGCUAAGAUUCCUCUGGAUGGCACACACUCAUGUGGUGCCACUUUCUGCUUUUGUGACUGACUAGCCUGGUUGGACAGGUCUGACAUAGAUUAAGUGUGGUUACUUACUAACGUGCAAUUACGUGGCGUGGUUUAACCACCAAGGGACAUUG